AAAUGUUCUGCCGCAGACGCGCAGCAGACUGCCCCGCGCCCCGCGCCCCCCUUUCCUCCUCAAUUAGUGGAGAUUAAUGUUUCCUAAUUUUCUGUUUCCCUCACAAACUUUGCGGCUCCUCCUCUGCUGCCCCAUCAGAUGUGAGUGCAGAUCACCGCCGCCAUCCACCGUCGGCCGCUCCUCCUCUGCUGCCCCAUGGGCGCGAGCAAACAGAGCUAACCACUCAAAGCAACCGGAGAGGCGAGCCACGGAGGAAGGGAGAGAUGGCGUCGGCAGUAGAGGAGGAGGAGGAGCAGGAGGGGCCGGCAGAAGCAGGGGACGAGGAGCAAGAAGGUCCUGGCGCAAGGCAUCCUCGAAGGACCCUGAGGGUCGGGUCUUUUCCGCCACAACGCCCGCCGAUGCCGCCGCGCUCCUCGGCGAGCUCCACAACCAGAUCCUCGCCGGCCGGGCCUCCUUCGCCGACCUCGCUGCGAAGCACUCCGACUGCUCCUCCGUCCGCCACGGCGGCGACCUAGGCCUCAAAUCAGCCCACUACACAGCCGUAGCCAGCCCCUCGGCUCGCCUUGGGCAACCGCUGUGUCGGUCCGUCGACGUUUGGGGCGGCGGAAGCCCAGGUCCAACCCUUCGGCGUCACAUACCUCUGCACGGAAGCCGCCAUGGGUGCGUGGAAGUCCAUCUCCAAGCGCAUGCCUGUGGACGUGGAGGACGUGUGCCAGGAGGUGGAAAUCAUGGCGCCGCACCUAAACGUCAUCACCCUCAACGGCGCCCACGAUGACGAGAAUGUCGUGCACCACGUCAUGGAGCUCUGCAAGGGCGGCGAGCUUUUAGACAGGAUCCUCUUGCAGGGCCACUACACCGAGCAUGUCGCCGCCGCCCUCACCCACACCAUCGUUGAGGUGCUCCAGGUAAGAAGGUUGCUUGUUUUUCUUGCUUGCUACUUACUGCUUACAAGUACACCUGUACACUUUCUGUUACUGUUGUUAUAUGCUUUAUAUUGGUUCAAUUAUGAUAAGAACUGUUAGCUACUGCUCAAGAAAUGUUACUAUAGAUUGGUAAAGAAGAGGACCUCAUGUUAGUCUUUAGCUUAGAUGAGCUUCAGAUAAGCUUCAAACUAAAUUUAGUUGUUCAGUUUUUAUGGAUUGAUAGUAAUAGGUUCAGAUAAGCCCCAUGUUUUGUCGUUGUUAAUUGCUUAACCGAACUGGUAAUUUGCGAAAUAGCCUUGUGGAUUAUCCCGGUGCACGCUGCAAAUAUGGCAGUAUCCUGAUUUCUAAGCAUAUGUCCAUGCAGGAUCUGGGAUGCACAUUGCCAACGCUGCAUCAUGUGUUUGCGUCAUAGUAUAUUGUGUUAUUGGAUAUUGGGAUUAUUGUCUGACAUCUGACAUGUACUUUUGCCAUUCUAUUUUGAUAGAUGUGUCACAGGAAUGGUGGCAUCCCAUUUUCUUCUCUGAUUCAUGUAGUAAUUUCAAGCCUCUCAAAGCAAACAUGGAAACUUUUAUUAAGUUAUAAUAUAUUUUCCACUUUAUAUUACUCCUUGAUUUUCCAUCCCCGCAAAAUGGAGCUAACUUUGUUGAUACAGUUUAUUGAGAAUUUAUGUACGCCCACUCGGCGGUUUUGCUUUCCCCAACGGUCAGUUCCUCCUAUUCCAUUUGAUCCGUGUGCGUGUCAAUGUUCAUGGUAUUAGUGUUUGUUGGUCCGAUAAUGAUCAAGCAUGCAUAACUGAAUUUUGUAAAAAAAAAAACUAAUAGGUUUGCUACAAGGCCAUUAAUGAGUUAAUGACACAGCCUGAUAAUGUCUAAUAAUUAGAUUGCAUGCAAUUUAGUUCAUAAUGUACAAUGAUCUACUGUUUAACUGAAUAUGGAUGUUCUUUAUGACGGUAAGUUCUCCAAUUCAGUCUAUAUUCUCUCUACGUUUUCAACACAAUAAUUUCAGAAAUUAUUCAAUUGACCUUCAUUAUUGAAUUAUUAAUCAGAGGUAACUACGAUUGUGCGAUUACAUCACCCAUAUGCACGCCCAGAUUUUUUGCUUAAUUGGUAGCCCUCCAUCGCCCAGUAAUCCGACGUUGUCUAUGCCCAGCUGAUAGUUCCCCUCCUCCCUACUUUUCAUAUCAAAAUUCCUGGUCGUUCUGCUUUUCUGAAUUUUCUCUCCAGACAAAGGUGAACCAGUCUUGAAUUGCCCAUACUGAUUUCUGAAAAAUCAGAUAGUGUUUCCAGUAGGAAUUGCAAGUAUAUCUGAGGUAAUAUGGAGCUUAGAGAUAUUUGUACCUGGUGCUGAUGUCAUACUUAGAGCUAGACUUCAAAUUAGUGGUUUUUCGAUGUCAGUUAGGUGUAUAUAUAAUAUGCGGAUAUGCAGGUAAGAAGCUCCUAAAUAUUCUUGUCCCAUGCUAUCGCCAUCACACUCAGGGGCUCCAGUAGCUAAAAACCUCUACUGAUCUUUGCAGAUCGUGUACAUGUGCGUCUCAACCUUCUGUCUCUUUGUUUUAUAUACAAGCUGCAGAGGUCCAGUUAAGAUUAAUUACUGAAUUUUGCAUGUUCAUCUACAAUUUUGGUUAUAUUUUCAGUUGUUUAAAAAGCAAGUAGUUUGGUUUGUGUAAAAAUUUAGGAUUGAAUGGAUGAUGGUCGACACUACCUGUUUGACAUGCAAUGCCUUAUAAUCCCUCAAUUUCUAAGUAUAAGUCUUUUUGGAGAUUCCAAUAUGGACUACGUAUGGAUGUAUAUAGACAUGCUUAUAGUGUAGAAUCACUCAUUUUGCUCCGUAUGUAGUCCAUAUUAGAACUCUAAAAACACUUAUAUUUAGGAAUGGAGAGAGAACUGAUUUGUUGCUAAAUUAUAUCAUGAGGUAUAUGAUCUGUUAUAGGUUUUCGCAAACACUCUCACGAAGACAAGGGAUGACUUCAAUUAUGUUUGGUACGGAGUAUUGGCCCUUGUGGCAAUAGCACAGCACCACUCCAAGCUAGAAAUAGAUUGACUUAAUAUUAUCGUUUCUUACCAUCGUUGGGGUUCUGAUUUGAUUUUCUCUCUCUUCCCGUUCCAACUAUUCAAGUGCAUAUAUCAUGCUGGCGGGAGGCUACAUUGUUACACGAUGGAAGCAAUUCAUAGCCGGUAAAUCUGGUGAUGUUGUUUACUCUUAUGCAUAGCCAAUAUUGGGUGGUGGGAUGAUGAUAAGAAGUAUGAUAUUGAGAACUCAAAUAUGAUCAUUGGAUUCCUGAUUAUGUACAUUACUUCAAGGUUAAGACAGCUAGAGAAUUGGGACCUAUUUUUUAAAUUUUUCAUAACUGUCUAUUCUAUUGGAUACACUUUCAGUCAUCCACUCUUAUGUGGCAAUAGCGUGGUAAGCAUGUAUAUUAUGAUGGUUCUACAUAACCUUCUUUUUACAUAUCAAUAAAUUGCCUUGGCCUUUUGGUCUUUGGUUGUUGAUGAA